rnacentral:rRNA from 1 species
UACGUAGGGUGCGAGCGUUGUCCGGAGUUACUGGGCGUAAAGAGCUCGUAGGUGGUUUGUCGCGUUGUUCGUGAAAACCGGGGGCUUAACCCUCGGCGUGCGGGCGAUACGGGCAGACUUGAGUACUGCAGGGGAGACUGGAAUUCCUGGUGUAGCGGUGGAAUGCGCAGAUAUCAGGAGGAACACCGGUGGCGAAGGCGGGUCUCUGGGCAGUAACUGACGCUGAGGAGCGAAAGCGUGGGGAGCGAACAGG